CCAGCGGGUCCUGAGCUUCCGUCCGACAGACUCCCCAGCUCUGCGAGGAACUCUGGAGUGUCUGGAGAAGCCUCGGGGCUGUGCUGGAAAGAAUCUGGUGGUGGAAUCCUACCUGCCGCCGGCUUACCGGCUGUGUGGCAUGAGACAAGGCUCAUCACCUCCCUGAACUCAGCAUACUCAUCCGUAAAACGGGGCAGGUCCCAGGUUGCUGUGAAGCUCUAUGAGAGGAUGAUGUGAAAGUUAUUUACCAGUGUCAGGGAUUUGGGAACAGCCACCUCCACAUCUACAGAGCUGAUGAGAAAACCGGCCCAGAGAGGUUUAACGGUCUGGCUGAGGUCACACAGUAAGCAGGGGAGUCAGGAUCAAAUCCCAGGAAAUCUGCUCUUGGGCCAUGAGGCUGGAAUCUGCUUGCCCUGCCAGCCUGGGCCAUCCCAUUUCCAGUCCCUUGGGUCAGCUGAGGGGCGACUGGAGGCUGGUCCACUUGUGCAUCUUCCGCUCCGGGCUCAAUUCCUGCCAGGACAAAGAUUUAUCGACUCGUAACUGGAAGGGACAAGUCAUUGUUACCAUAAGUCAAAAAGGACAUAUAGUCCUGUUCAAAAUCUUUACAACAACAGGAGGUCGGAACUAUGAUUAUUACCGAGUUUGGAAGGGAUAACUUGCUCAGGGUCAUGGGACCAAGAGGAAAUCUAGCCAGAAAUUUAACCCGGGCAGUCUGGCUCCAAAAUCUGAGCGCUUGCAACCACAAUGCACAAAUGCCUCCUAGAUCAACUAGUCCGAUGUCUUUGAUGCCCAGUUAAAGAAACUAAAGCUCAGGCCCAGAGAGAGAGUACAGCCUGGCCUAUGCCACACAGCUGGCGAGAGGCAGAGCCAGGGUGAGAAGGCAGCACCCUCUUCCAGCAGUGCCCACUGGCCGUGGUCUGUACGUCCUCUGCAGACUUGCCCGGAGAACGUGGCAGCUCCUAUUCAAGGUUCUGUGUGACUAACAGACAACAGCAUCUGACACAAACAUCUGGGUAAGAUGACGCAGGAUCACCCUUCUAACUCCUCUGCCUGCCCUGCCCAGAGCCUCUUUAAACCCUGAAUUCUCCAGCCUUCUUAAUCCUACGUCUCCAGGAAACCAGAUUCCACGUGCUGAGCCCCGGGAGGGAGACGGCAGCCCAAGCACCUGGAUCUCUUUGGCUCCGGCAUCAUGAUUGAUGUGCCUCCUACCUUCUACUCCCCACACCUCAGACUCACUACUAAAGUUCCAGGGGCCCCUUUCCCUCCAGCACAGAGGGCAGGGCAGGGGGAAAGGUCCCCCUGCUUCAGGGAACAUCUGGC